AAAGGGGGUGGGACCAUUCAUAAAUGAUGUUGCACUAUAUUGUUAAAUUGCAUGCUGGACACAUUUAAUUUUAAGAAACUUUGACUAGGGAGGGCCCUGCGCCGCUCCCCGGGCCUCCGCGCAAUAUUGGAAUGACACGUACUACUAUCCACAUGACGGCAUCCAUCUUCUCCAACUAGAGUGGAACCAUGUCCUCCCUGAUACACAACUCAAAGUCCAAAAACAGAUCCUGUGUGAUGACACCCUUCAUCUCAUUAGAAAAUGGCGGUUUGUGCCCCCUCAAAACACAUGCCAAGGAAGGUUUCUUUUCCACAGUAAAUAACGAGUUAAUACAAGCUGAUGGACUAUUACAAUUUAACAUAUAUGUAAGAUAAUAUCUUUGGUAUUUUUAAAAGAAUUAUAACAGGGGAGAAAAUGUCGUUUUUAUUCUCGUUUUCUCGUCACGUACACAGAUUGUUCAAGCAAAAGCCAAAAUCCUCGAAAUUAAUAUGAGCAAGUUUACUCAAAUCUAUAUCAAGAGUUACAGACAAUAUUAUUUAAAGAUGUGGAUAUUUUAAAGGAAAUUAUUGGAGUCUUUUUUUGAUUAAAACAACUCUAAACAGCUAUUAAUAGCAGCCAAACAUAUGCCGUCAUACUAGUGUUUUGUUUCACAAGUGGCCAGAACUAUCCUUAUAUCUUUAGUCAAAUGUUUGUUUAAUUGCAAGUCAUUUGAUUCAAUUAUGCACAAGCUGCACAGUGUGUAUAAGAAAUAGCUUGACAUUUGUUUUUAUCUAUCUGUAUUUCAACAAAAAAAUGUAGUUUUUUUUGUAAUAAACUUGUUGAUUUUUGUAUUUUUGUGAUCUUGAGAUGACUGUAGUUUUUAUUAUUUUUGCUCAGAUUAACACCACAUGUUCAGGCAAUACAAAAGAGCCUGAUGAGACAGUCACAUGAAUAUUUGCAGACUUGGUCACGCAUUACAUCUAUAGCCUACUGUAUGAAUGCAUGUAUCUUUGUCUGUUGUAUAUGAAUUAUUCCCUCCUGUCUGCCUUCAUCCAUUAGUUACACUGUGAUUUCUGUUGCUCUUGAAACACCUCAAAAGCAAAUCUUUUUUUUUUAAAGCAUGGAUACAAUCUUGUUUUCUAAAAGAAGAAAGAAACAUUAUUU
rnacentral:lncRNA from 1 species